AUUGAACGCUGGCGGCAGGCCUAACACAUGCAAGUCGAGCGGCAGCGGGAAAGUAGCUUGCUACUUUUGCCGGCGAGCGGCGGACGGGUGAGUAAUGCCUGGGGAUCUGCCCAGUCGAGGGGGAUAACUACUGGAAACGGUAGCUAAUACCGCAUACGCCCUACGGGGGAAAGCAGGGGACCUUCGGGCCUUGCGCGAUUGGAUGACCCCAGGUGGGAUUAGCUAGUUGGAGAGGUAACGGCUCACCAAGGCGACGAUCCCUAGCUGGUCUGAGAGGAUGAUCGGCCAGACUGGAACUGAGACACGGUCCAGACUCCGACGGGCGGCAGCAGUGGGGAAUAUUGCACAAUGGGGGAAGCCCUGAUGCAGCCAUGCCGCGUGUGUGAAGAAGGCCUUCGGGUUGUAAAGCACUUUCAGCGAGGAGGAAAGGUUGGUAGCUAAUAACUGCCAGCUGUGACGUUACUCGCAGAAGAAGCACCGGCUAAGUCCGUGCCAGCCGCCGCGGUAAAAC
rnacentral:rRNA from 1 species